GGAUUCCCCUAGUAACGGCGAGUGAACGGGGAAGAGCCCAGCGCCGAAGCCCCCGUCCCCAGAGGGCGGCGGGCAAUGUGGCGUUUGGGAGGAGCCAUCCCUCUGGUUCGCGGGAGCCCAAGUCCCCCUGACCGGGGCCACUGCCCAAGGCGGGUGCAAGGCCCGUGCGGCUCUUUCAGCGGCCGGAGGACGGUUCUCUCCCUGGAGUCGGGUUGCUUGGGAGUGCAGCCCUAAGCGGGUGGUAAACUCCACCUAAGGCUAAAUACUUCC
rnacentral:rRNA from 1 species